AUAAAACGAACAACAACAACAACGAACUUCCAACUUUUUUUUAUUUGUCGUCGGCAAUGAACGAACAGACGAACUCUCAUCAUACACAUGAUUUAACUAGAUUGCGAGCUACACCACCUUAUCCUUGUAACAAAUCCAGGAUCUCAGAGGCACAUAUGCCUUCUCAGUUUAAAAUUACUGAAUUCUUUCAAGUGUACAAUUGAAUAAGCUUGAAUUUGUGUCUGUCUCCUGACAAGGUUGAAGAUAUGACCAGUCCAUAUAAGCUCCUAUUACCAGAUAAUUUCGCUUCAUGGUAGUGUAACCAAGCAAGUCAUCAUGAUUCGACACCAGGCAGAGACUUUUAUAAUAACCUGGGUUGCCUAUGCUUCAACCUAUCUUCUACGUAAACCUCUUGGAGUGGUGAAAGCAGACCUUGCAUCAGAGCUUUCUAUGAGCAAGGCUCAACUUGGGUGGUUAGAUACAUCAAUGCUUCUUCCAUAUGCCACAGUUCAGGUAUAGUAUCCAUUGCCUUUCAGAGGAUAUAUAUAUCCAAGGUUUUAAAUUAUUUUUCAGUGA